rnacentral:rRNA from 1 species
UACGUAGGGAGCAAGCGUUGUUCGGAUUUACUGGGCGUAAAGGGCGCGCAGGCGGCUCAUUUUGUCAGGCGUGAAAGCCCCGGGCUUAACCUGGGAACUGCGUUUGAUACGGAUGGGCUAGAGUUCGGGAGAGGAGAGUGGAAUUCCCAGUGUAGAGGUGAAAUUCGUAGAUAUUGGGAAGAACACCGGUGGCGAAGGCGGCUCUCUGGACCGAUACUGACGCUGAGGCGCGAAAGCGUGGGGAGCAAACAGG